UUGUAAAAUAAGUUUAGUCCAAUCUACAAAUCUGUAAUUUUAGUGAUUGAAUCAUAAAUCUCAUAGGAUUUUCAGUUCAAUCAUUUAAAUAUACCAUAAAUAAAAAAGUUUAUUGUACUCCAUUAAAUACCAAAUGUGUCUUGAUUCUAACGGGAUGUAUGUUAUUCGAUUUGGAUUCGAGGUAGAUAGAAAUAAUGAUAAAGUUGACGCCGU
rnacentral:lncRNA from 1 species